rnacentral:misc_RNA from 1 species
UUGUUGCUACUCAAAUCCAGGGUAUCCAAAGAAGAAGAAGAUGCGCCUGAGAUGUUAGGAAAUUGACCUGUAAAUUGGUUGAAAGAAAGCUGAAUCUUCUGCAGUGUGGGAUUGCGAACAAAGAUGAAGGAAUGUCCCCAUUAAGUGAAUUAUACCUCAAGUCGACAUAGGUAAGAUUCAGAAGGCCUGCCCAUUGAGUGGAUGAUAUCUCACCAGACAAUUGAUUGUAAGAAAAAUCUAUAUACAUGAG